UACGUAGGGUGCAAGCGUUAAUCGGAAUUACUGGGCGUAAAGCGUGCGUAGGCGGUUGUGCAAGACAGAUGUGAAAUCCCCGGGCUUAACCUGGGAACUGCAUUUGUGACUGCAUGGCUAGAGUGUGUCAGAGGGAGGUGGAAUUCCACGUGUAGCAGUGAAAUGCGUAGAUAUGUGGAGGAAUACCGAUGGCGAAGGCAGCCUCCUGGGAUAACACUGACGCUCAUGCACGAAAGCGUGGGGAGCAAACAGG
rnacentral:rRNA from 1 species